rnacentral:rRNA from 1 species
UACAGAGGGGGCAAGCGUUGUUCGGAAUUACUGGGCGUAAAGGGCGCGUAGGCGGCCUGUUAAGUCGAACGUGAAAUCCCCGGGCUCAACCCGGGAACUGCGUCCGAUACUGGCAGGCUUGAAUCCGGGAGAGGGAUGCGGAAUUCCAGGUGUAGCGGUGAAAUGCGUAGAUAUCUGGAGGAACACCGGUGGCGAAGGCGGCAUCCUGGACCGGCAUUGACGCUGAGGCGCGAAAGCCAGGGAAGCAAACGGG